AAACGGGCGUUUAGCAAAUACGUCAGUGGCAGACGGGUGAGUAACGCGUGGGAACGUACCUUUUGGUUCGGAACAACACAGGGAAACUUGUGCUAAUACCGGAUAAGCCCUUACGGGGAAAGA
rnacentral:rRNA from 1 species